CAGCCGCCACGGGAAUACGAAGGGCGCAAGCGUUAAUCGGAAUUACUGGGCGUAAAGCGUGCGUAGGCGGUGAGUUAAGUCUGCUGUGAAAUCCCCGGGCUCAACCUGGGAAUGGCAGUGGAUACUGGCUCGCUAGAGUGUGUCAGAGGAUGGUGGAAUUCCCGGUGUAGCGGUGAAAUGCGUAGAGAUCGGGAGGAACACCAGAGGCGAAGGCGCCUGACUGGCCAAACAUUGACGCUAAGGCGCGAAAGCGUGGGUAGCAAACAGGAUUAGAGACCCCGGUAGUCCCUGUCUCUUAUAC
rnacentral:rRNA from 1 species